UCUCCUUUCCCUCUUGUAAGUUCCACUCUCGGCUCUCUCUCCCUCUCAGCUCUGAACCCUCACUAGACGUAACCCCUUCCUUUCACUCUUCAUCCUCUCUCCCUCUCCACCGUAAUCGCAGCCGCAGUCUGUGAUCUGUCACUCUCUCAACCCCCACUCUCCCAAACCCUCACUCAUCUGUGCCUCUCACUCUCUCAACCUCUCACUCUGUCAACCCCUCACUGUCGCAUCCCUCACCUCUAUUGCGUUCAGAUACCUACAAAAAAAGGAGCCCUCAAUGCUGAACCCAGUUACUCAUUCCAAAUUUCCGGUUUCCUUUAAAGAUUAUGGCUGCUGCUGUAACUGCGAGAACUGUUCGUGUUGUCAUUGUUGUUUUUGAUGGACCCAGUAGCUUUAUUGCUUAACUAGGAUAACAUUUUCAAGUGGCAUCCACGUCGCUUGUUCCCUCUUUACCCAUCAGGCCCCAGCUUUGGAUCUUUAUAUAGCUUUCCCCUAUCAUCCACAAUUCCUGAAGCUCAUACCCUCCCCUGUCGAGUUGCGCAGCUGCCUUCACGACCAGUCCCCUGGCACUGGAAAAUAGUUCUACACUUUGUAAUAAGGGUGGAGAUGGAUUUCAAGUGGAGAAUAGAAAGGUGAAGACCAAGUUGACAGCAAGCGUUAAAUUUUUAGCUGCACUGGUAAUGGAGCUUGAUGGUCAAACAGUUUUGACUUUGUUUUGUUUAUUUUAGGAUCAUAUUCAAAAUUUGAAACAAGCAGGAUACAGUGAUGAUGAUGCAGUUCAAACAGUUUUUGGAAAGGAAAGACAUGGUAGAGUUCGUUUCUAUGGUCGAUCAGUCACAAAAUCCUCUCUUAAAAAGGAUAAGCAGAUCCGACAAAUGCAACAACAACAUACUGAAGUGGUUUCAACUAUGGAGAAAAAUCAAACUAACUUAACUUCCAAGUUGGAUGGUUUAACAAACUUGAUUAAAACGUUGUUGCAACAAGUCAAUCCUGGUAUGAGUGCAGAACAAGUGCAAGUAAUGAUAGAAGCCGCCCAACAAUCUCCACCUGAUGCGAGUAGUGCACCAAAUGAUGCGCGGCGAAGCAUUCCUCCUUCACUUGGAUCGAACCAUGUAUCAAAGGAUUUCGAAUAGGAAGACAUGAUGUGAAGAAAAUAUGUUCUAUACAAAUAUCACAUGGGAUGGGUCUCACACUUUAGUUAUCUAAAUGUAAUUUUUCUUAUGUGUUUCGUACUUUUUGAAAAGAGACUUUACUCGGUAUUACAUGUAAUUGGAUACAUUAUACUCUAUUUUGAUUUAUGUUAUUUCGACUAAAAACUAAACAUAUCUAGUUUAUAAUGAAAGUUUUAUGAUUUACAUUUCUUGUUCUUAGAUUUAUUUUGUGAUUAUCAUUAAUUUGAGAUGUGAUUAUGCUUUAAAAAAAAAUUAAAGCUCAUAAAACAAAAUAGGCUAUGGUCACCGUUUUAAAAUAGGGUGACCAUAGAUAACCUAUGGUCACGGCCAAAACCGUGACCAUAGGCUCUAUGGUCACGGUUUUGAAGACGGGUGGCCAUACAGGCUAUGGUCACGGUUUUCAGUAAGGGUGACCAUAGAGGCUAUGGUCACGGCCAAAACCGUGACCAUAGAUAAGGCUAUGAUCACGGUUUUGCGUAAGGGUGACCAUAGAGGCUAUGCUCACGGCCAAAACCGUGACCAUAGAUAAGGCUAUGGUCACGGUUUUGAGGAAGGGUGACCAUAGAGGCUAUGCUCACGGCCAAAACCGUGACCAUAGAUAAGGCUAUGGUCACGGUUUUAACAAAGGGUGACCAUAGAGGCUAU